ensembl:lncRNA
AUUGUCUGUUAGUGUCACGUUGCCCAAAAUACACCAAAAUGGACCCAAAACGGACUCAGAAUGGUUCUGCUUGGAGGAUAAGGGGGGGGGAGAGGGGGGGGGGCUGUGGAGUGUCCCAAAAUGGCACCAAAUGGACCCAAAAUGGCACUAAGAUGGAGAUUGGGGGGGGGGGGGGAGCGUUGGGUGCCCAAAAAUCCCCCGAAAUCGCACUAAAACGGCCCCAAAUUGUUGUGUUCCCUUCCGCCCCUCCCCCCCCCCCCCCCCCCCCUCCCGUUGUUAUUUUGGGGCGGAUUCGGUCGGUUUUGGGGUCGGAGUUUCCUUUCGCUUUCCGCUGCAGCGCGUGGGGAGCGCGCUUCCGGUCGCGGCGGCGGCAUUUCGCGUCACUUCCGGUUUGUGGCGCCGAUAAUACACAUCACUUCCGGUGGUCGCUUUCUCACACAGAGGGGGCGCCGCAGCGCGGUUUUAUUGGGGGCGGGGCUUAGAAGGGGCGGGGCUUAAAAGGGGCGGGGCCUGGGAAUGCUAUGGGGCUGCCCCACACAUCUGUGGGGCACUAAAUCCCAUCUAUGGGGCUGCCCCACACAUCUAUGGGGCAGGAAAUGACAUCUAUGGGGCUGCCCCACACAUCUGUGGGGCAGUAAAUCACAUCUAUGGGGCUGCCCCACACAUCUGUGGGGCAGUAAAUCCCAUCUAUGGGGCUGCCCCACACAUCUAUGGGGCAGUGACACAAAUCUUCAGGGCGGCCCCAUAGAUCCAUGGGUCGCAACCACCCAUCUAUGGGGCAGCCCCACAUCUAUGGGUCCCACGCAUGCAUGGGGCAGCCCCACAUCUAUAGGGCAGUGACACCUAUCUAUGGGGCAGCCCCACACAUCUAUGGGGCAGUAAUACCGACCUAUGGGGCAGCCCCACACAUCUAUGGGGCAGUAAUACCAACCUAUAGGGCAGCCCCAUGCAUCUAUAGGGCAGAGACACCAAUCUAUGGGGCAGCCCCACAACUACGGGGUAACCCCACAUCGAUGGGUCUCAGUCAUCUAUGGGGCAACUCCACAUCUAUAGAGCAGUAACACAGAUCUAUGGGGCAGCCCCACAUCUAUGGGUCCCACACAUCUAUGGGGCAACCCCACACGUCUAUGGGGCAGCCCCACAUGUAUAGGGCAGUGACAUUGAUCUAUGGGGCAGCCCCCCAGCAGCGCUGCGCCCCCCGCUGUGCGCCCCAUAGGGGUGGGGGGGGAUCCACGAGGCAGCUGUGGGGCAGCGCUGCCCCAAACCUGUGGGGGGAGACACAGCGCUCUGCCCCACCGCCCCACACAUCUAUGGGGCCCUCCCAAAGCCCCGCCCCCUUCAGGCCACGCCCCCUUUUGCCAGCCCCGCCCACGCUUGACCACGCCCCUUCCCGAAAGCCCCCCCCCCUUUUAGCCCUUCUUGUUCCGAAGCCCCGCCCACCGUAGACCACGCCCACUCCCUUUAGUCCCGCCCACCCCGGCUCAUCCAAUCAGUUUGCUCCUUCCC